GUUGGCAACAGUGAUUUAAUACUUAGUUUGCGUUUUCAUUUGGUGUUGUUUUGACGCCGAAGCAUGUACGAGUAACGAACGUCGCGCUAUGAUUGUUAUACGAAUGUAUUAAUUACAAAUAGUGAAGUGUGUGCAAAAGGCGACAAAGUGCAAGAUAAGAGUCUAUUAGGUAUUAUCGAAGCGCAGCAAGAAACCAAGAUUAGAUAAAAAGAAAGAAAAGUAAAUGCGAAUCAGCAAAAAUAUAUCUGCAACUGAAGCCAUCGGCAGUCGCCGCCGCGUGAAAAAUAUAAAAUAAAAGUAAAAGAGAAGUGAAGAGAAGAAAAGAAGAGUUCAGUGCCAGGUGCCAGCGUCUGCAUCGUUUGUUUGUCUCUCAUUUGUCUGAGCGUCGCGUUGUAAUUGUAUGUGUGUGUAUGUUUAGUUGUAAGUGCAAAUACACCUGUCUGCCUUGCUAAAAACCCCAAGCAUAAUUGCAUAUCCCAGAGACACUAACAUCAACAACAACAACAAAUUCGCUGACCGCCACCGCGUGUGCUUAAGUGUGUGUGUGUAUGGUGAGAAAAUGUCAUUGCCAGUGUCGACGCUGACGUCGCAGUCAAAGUAAAGAUAAAAGCACAGAACGCGCGCGACCAGCAAUAAUAAAAAGUGAAUCAAAACGUCGCCGUCAGCAAGUGUGCGUGCGUGCGUUUGUGUGUGUGUGUCUGUUAAAGAGAGAAGAGAGAGUGCAAAACGCAUUCCUUUGAUCCGUCUUAUUAUUGUUGUUGUUACUACACCAAGUUCUGUCCAAGGCAGCAGCGCAGGCGACGCCACAGCAACAACAACAACUACAGUUACCAACCAACUUGUACGUCCAGCGCUUAAAUUCCAGUUUCUUGUUUUUGUUUCACAGAGUUCUGUUAACUACUGCAACUAUUGCUUCCAUAAAAACAUAUUGCCAUUAAGGAUAAGCAACCAUACUUAACGGAAUUGUGACUGCCAAAAAUUUGUGAAGAUAUCAUUUACAUAUGCCUAACAAAAUGCGGAACUCUGCGAUUCGAAAAUAGAACAUUAUUUAAUCUUAAACGCAACAGAGAAUUUCAGACACCAUGGACGCUCCAGAUGCCGGUCGCAUUAUACGUGCACCUGCACGA